rnacentral:rRNA from 1 species
GACGAACGCUGGCGGCGUGCCUAAUACAUGCAAGUCGAACGCUUUUUCUUUCACCGGAGCUUGCUCCACCGAAAGAAAAAGAGUGGCGAACGGGUGAGUAACACGUGGGUAACCUGCCCAUCAGAAGGGGAUAACACUUGGAAACGGGUGCUAAUACCGUAUAACAAGUAAAACCGCAUGGUUUUACUUUGAAAGGCGCUUUUGCGUCACUGAUGGAUGGACCCGCGGUGCAUUAGCUAGUUGGUGAGGUAACGGCUCACCAAGGCAACGAUGCAUAGCCGACCUGAGAGGGUGAUCGGCCACAUUGGGACUGAGACACGGCCCAAACUCCCACGGGAGGCAGCAGUAGGGAGUCUUCGGCAAUGGACGAAAGUCUGACCGAGCAACGCCGCGUGAGUGAAGAAGGUUUUAGGAUCGUAAAACUCUGUUGUUAGAGAAGAACAAGGAUGAGAGUAAAAUGUUCAUCCCUUGACGGUAUCUAACCAGAAAGCCACGGCUAACUACGUGCCAGCAGCCGCGGUAAUACGUAGGUGGCAAGCGUUGUCCGGAUUUAUUGGGCGUAAAGCGAGCGCAGGCGGUUUCUUAAGUCUGAUGUGAAAGCCCCCGGCUCAACCGGGGAGGGUCAUUGGAAACUGGGAAACUUGAGUGCAGAAGAGGAGAGUGGAAUUCCAUGUGUAGCGGUGAAAUGCGUAGAUAUAUGGAGGAACACCAGUGGCGAAGGCGGCUCUCUGGUCUGUAACUGACGCUGAGGCUCGAAAGCGUGGGGAGCAAACAGG